GUGUUAAAUAACAACAAAAAAACAGCCAAUUGUGAAACUGCUGGACUCCUAACUGGUGAGUUGUCUGUAUUUUCAUGAAUUGAAGCU